UACGUAGGGUGCAAGCGUUAAUCGGAAUUACUGGGCGUAAAGCGUGCGCAGGCGGUUUUGUAAGUCAGAUGUGAAAUCCCCGGGCUUAACCUGGGAACUGCGUUUGAAACUACAAGGCUAGAGUGUGACAGAGGGGGGUGGAAUUCCACGUGUAGCAGUGAAAUGCGUAGAGAUGUGGAGGAACACCGAUGGCGAAGGCAGCCCCCUGGGUCAAAACUGACGCUCAUGCACGAAAGCGUGGGGAGCAAACAGG
rnacentral:rRNA from 1 species